rnacentral:tRNA from 1 species
GUCUCGAUGGUCUAAAGGCUUAGGACGCUCGCACGGAAUGCAAGAGAUCCGGGUUCGACUCUCGGCCGAGGCA